rnacentral:tRNA from 2 species
GCUCCCAUAGUUUAAGCGGAUAAAACGUUGGAUUCCUAAUCCGAAGCUCUGGGUUCGAGUCCCGGUGGGAGCA